GCAAGGGGGCUGGCGACUCUCCGUGAGGAGGAAGCUCCGCCCACCCAUAAAGUGCAUCAUGCCCCGAGAGGGGCUGAAUGGCCUACAGAAACGACACGGUCUUGGAACGAUGACAAUGAUAGUAAAUUGAGGAGUUCCAAGGGGCCGGUGAAACGAGGCCAUUCUGCACGGGUGCAAGCGUUUAGCGCUUAGCCGAAUGUCGCCGAAAUUACAGAAGGCGGGCUAUAGCCCCCAUGC
rnacentral:RNase_P_RNA from 1 species